UCGACUAUAUUCAAGCAUCCUUGUCAUAUUUUGGUAGAAAUACCAAAGCCAAAUCCUAAAUAGACCACAUUUACAAUUCGUCCACAAUGCCUGUAAUUAUUAGCCAUUAGAUUAACUGAUUCUCAUAGUAACAUGCUAUACCUUCCCACAUCUAAUCAUUCUUCCAAAUGCGAAAACCCCACGCCGCCUUAACAUCUAUGCGGCAACACAACUGACCACCGUGUCUUUCCCGUCAGCACCACCUUCCAUGUUAAGUGACUGACUACUCAUCUUUAGAGAGACACUAAAAGGGGAUGUUGAUUUUGCUCCUCAUUCUUGUAUUGUCUAUGAAAGACAAAAAGGAAAAGGGAAGAUGGUAGAAGAAGAAGAAGAAGAAAUUAUUAAGUGCAGAGGGUGUACCGUAAUAUUGUGAGGUAUAGAUUAAUCCAAGGGUUCCCUUUACCAGUAAUAGUAUCUUAAAAUGAAUUAUGGUGUAUGCAGCAUAAGAGAGAGAACUCUCCUUUAAUAUAAUUUGUCUUCAAUUGGUUGCACCAUAAAGUUGGUCCUAGAGGAUUCAAGUCAAAGCAAUAAUCAUAUUUUAGUUUUUUGUUUUUGUUUUAAUUUGAGAGGUCCUACUAUUAACCCCACA